rnacentral:rRNA from 1 species
AUUGAACGCUGGCGGCAUGCCUUACACAUGCAAGUCGAACGGCAGCACGGGUGCUUGCCCCUGGUGGCGAGUGGCGAACGGGUGAGUAAUACAUCGGAACAUGUCCUUUAGUGGGGGAUAGCCCGGCGAAAGCCGGAUUAAUACCGCAUACGAUCUACGGAUGAAAGCGGGGGACCUUCGGGCCUCGCGCUAUAGGGUUGGCCGAUGGCUGAUUAGCUGGUUGGUGGGGUAAAGGCCUACCAAGGCGACGAUCAGUAGCUGGUCUGAGAGGACGACCAGCCACACUGGGACUGAGACACGGCCCAGACUCCUACGGGAGGCAGCAGUGGGGAAUUUUGGACAAUGGGCGAAAGCCUGAUCCAGCAAUGCCGCGUGUGUGAAGAAGGCCUUCGGGUUGUAAAGCACUUUUGUCCGGAAAGAAAUCCUUGGCUCUAAUACAGUCGGGGGAUGACGGUACCGGAAGAAUAAGCACCGGCUAACUACGUG